GUAAGGCCUUAAGGCAAUAUCGUCUUAACGAAUCGUGUCAGGUCCGGAAGGAAGCAGCACUAAGUUCUGUUCGGUAUGUGUCUUAAGUUGAUAUGAAAUU
rfam:Lactobacillus aviarius subsp. araffinosus DSM 20653 NODE_31, whole genome shotgun sequence.